rnacentral:rRNA from 1 species
UACGGGGGGAGCAAGCGUUGUUCGGAUUUACUGGGCGUAAAGGGCGCGUAGGCGGCCAGCACAAGUCAGUUGUGAAAUCUCCGAGCUUAACUCGGAACGGUCAACUGAUACUGUGCGGCUAGAGUGCAGAGGGGGCAACUGGAAUUCUUGGUGUAGCGGUGAAAUGCGUAGAUAUCAAGAGGAACACCUGCGGCGAAGGCGGGUUGCUGGGCUGACACUGACGCUGAGGCGCGAAAGCUAGGGGAGCGAACGGG